AUCCACCCUCCUCUCAAUAUAAGAAGAACCCUGGCAUUGUAAUAAACUCGUAGCAAAGUAAGAGGAGCUGGGUGGAGGAAAAAAAUGGCGUCCAAGGUUGUCUCUACACUCCUCAUUUCCUUUGUUGUCGUGGCCAUCUUAUCCUCUUCCGUUCAAUCCACGGGAGAUGUGGAUGUGCCGUUGAAGAAUACGUUUCAUGAUAAGUUAGUGGUAACAUGUAUCGGAAACCCUAAAUGCAGUUCAUCAGUCUAUGAAGUCUGUAGUGGGACAUGUAUUGAAACAGGAUUUGCCGGGGGCAAAUGUUUUGAAGGCAAGGGUUGUUGCUGCCACGAAAAGUACUAAAUCAGACAGUUUAAUGGAAUACAACAUAAGCAAUGGGGCAAUUUAUCUUCAAGUUUCAUUGCUUCCUAUGCUUUUUAGGUUAUGAUAAACCUUUCUGUUGGACGGAUGUUUAUAGGCCAUAGGCCUCAAAUUGUAAGGUUUUGACUUACUUUGGCCAUUAUAAAGCUGAUCAUUUUAUA